rnacentral:rRNA from 1 species
UACGUACAAGCAGUGGGAGCACAGGUUUACCUGUGUGACUGCGUACCUUUUGUAUAAUGGGUCAGCGACUUAUAUUCUGUAGCAAGGUUAACCGUAUAGGGGAGCCGGAGGGAAACCGAGUCUUAACUGGGCGUUAAGUUGCAGGGUAUAGACCCGAAACCCGGUGAUCUAGCCAUGGGCAGGUUGAAGGUUGGGUAACACUAACUGGAGGACCGAACCGACUAAUGUUGAAAAAUUAGCGGAUGACCUGUGGCUGGGGGUGAAAGGCCAAUCAAACCGGGAGAUAGCUGGUUCUCCCCGAAAGCUAUUUAGGUAGCGCCUCGUGAAUUCAUCUCCGGGGGUAGAGCA